rnacentral:tRNA from 1 species
GGUUCAGUUGGUAGAGCAUGGUGUUUGCAACGCCAGGGUUGUGGGUUCGAUUCCCAC